rnacentral:rRNA from 1 species
AUGAACGCUGGCGGCGUGCCUAAUACAUGCAAGUCGAGCGAACAGACGAGGAGCUUGCUCCUCUGACGUUAGCGGCGGACGGGUGAGUAACACGUGGAUAACCUACCUAUAAGACUGGGAUAACUUCGGGAAACCGGAGCUAAUACCGGAUAAUAUAUUGAACCGCAUGGUUCAAUAGUGAAAGACGGUUUUGCUGUCACUUAUAGAUGGAUCCGCGCCGCAUUAGCUAGUUGGUAAGGUAACGGCUUACCAAGGCAACGAUGCGUAGCCGACCUGAGAGGGUGGUCAGCCACACUGGAACUGAGACACGGUCCAGACUCCUACGGGAGGCAGCAGUAGGGAAUCUUCCGCAAUGGGCGAAAGCUUGACGGAGCAACGCCGCGUGAGGGAUGAAGGUCUUCGGAUCGUAAAACUCUGUUAUUAGGGAAGAACAAAUGUGUAAGUAACUAUGCACGUCUUGACGGUACCUAAUCAAAAAGCCACGGCUAACUACGUG